GGUGCUACCACCCCCACCGCUCGGUUCGGUGCUGCGGCUGUCAGUGCCCAGCAGGGGCGGGGUCAGUGGAGCCCCGCGCGGGGGUCGGAGUAGGGAGGAUUGACGAGGUCGGCCAGCACCCAACCCUCCAGGAAAACAUGCUUGAUCCUGUCACAAACACAUAUAGCACACAUGGAACCACCAUAGGCCCUGCUGACAUGGUUUUUUGUGUUUUGGACAAUCUCAUAAGACUUCGGGUCUUAUAGCACGAACCCCUUGAAGUCUGCGUGGGUACACACCACAGUAGAUUUUGGUGCUUUCCCAGCCUUCUUGGUAUAAAGUUACAGCAAGAAGACGUGAAAGGUUGGGAAAGGAGACCUCUGAUUCCAAGGACUCGUUCAAAAGAUGCUGAGACCGAGGCUUAAGCUUCAGGGCACCUCGGCCCCACCUGCUGGCCGGAGACGGUAGCGCUGCCCCAGCCGCUCAGUGCUUAUGGGGCUGGCAGAGGGAUGGGAUGGGGCUGGCUGGGAAGAAGAGGUCGCUGAGGCCCCGCCUGGGAGCUGCAGAGCUGGGGCAAACCUGGGGCUCUGGGCAGGUCUGCCCCAGGCAGUAUACUGUGGAGAAUGAAACUUUUCUAAAUGAUCAAUAAAAAAGCCAAAGUGGAGUCAGC
rnacentral:lncRNA from 1 species